GACGAAGGGGGCUAGCGUUGUUCGGAAUUACUGGGCGUAAAGCGAGUGUAGGUGGUUUUCCUAAGUUGGAUGUGAAAGCCUUGAGCUCAACUCAAGAAAUGCAUUCAGGACUGGGAGACUAGAGGACCGGAGAGGAUAGUGGAAUUCCCAGUGUAGUGGUGAAAUACGUAGAGAUUGGGAAGAACACCAGUGGCGAAGGCGGCUAUCUGGACGGUUUCUGACACUAAGACGCGAAAGCGUGGGGAGCAAACAGG
rnacentral:rRNA from 1 species